rnacentral:tRNA from 1 species
GCUCCUGUAGCACAACGGAUAGUGCACUGGUCUCCGAAGCCGGUGAUAGUGGUUCGAUUCCACUCGGGAGCACCA